rnacentral:rRNA from 1 species
UACGUAGGGGGCUAGCGUUAUCCGGAUUUACUGGGCGUAAAGGGUGCGUAGGCGGUCUUUCAAGUCAGGAGUUAAAGGCUACGGCUCAACCGUAGUAAGCUCCUGAUACUGUCUGACUUGAGUGCAGGAGAGGAAAGUGGAAUUCCCAGUGUAGCGGUGAAAUGCGUAGAUAUUGGGAGGAACACCAGUAGCGAAGGCGGCUUUCUGGACUGUAACUGACGCUGAGGCACGAAAGCGUGGGGAGCAAACAGG